UCAGUUCCAGGCCAACCAGGCU
rnacentral:miRNA from 1 species